rnacentral:rRNA from 1 species
UACGUAGGGGGCAAGCGUUGUCCGGAUUUACUGGGCGUAAAGAGCGUGUAGGCGGCCACGCAGGUCCGUUGUGAAAACUGGAGGCUUAACCUCCAGACGUCGACGGAAACCGUAUGGCUAGAGUCCGGAAGAGGAGAGUGGAAUUCCUGGUGUAGCGGUGAAAUGCGCAGAUAUCAGGAAGAACACCAAUGGCGAAGGCAGCUCUCUGGGACGGUACUGACGCUGAGACGCGAAAGCGUGGGGAGCGAACAGG